rnacentral:lncRNA from 1 species
AAACAUUUCUUCACCUCAGAAAGCAGAGUUGUUUCCAGUUGCCAGCUUCUUUCCACAUUCUCAGAUCAGCCUCAUUGUGCUACCUAGAAAGCCCUUCUUAAAUGUCUGAAUCCAAGACUUGCGGGGGAUUCCUCCUCUGAGCAAAUGGAGCAUUAGUAGCAGUCAGAGAUGCCAUCUUCUCAGAGCUCUGCAGAGGAGCCAUUGAAGAAUACUGUUGUCCUAUCCCAGAAGGAGCAAGCGGACAACACUGAUAUCCUGACCACUAACCAUCCAGCACCACUUAAAGUUUUAAAAAGAAUAACAGAAAGAAAGAAGUGGCUGAAACCUAAAUGCCAUAUGGAGAAGACAGCUAAUUGCCACACUCUCCUCUUUGGUCUUUCCUGGUACGCAGCAUACAAGCCCACAGAUUGAGGACUCUGCACUUGCUGUUCUCUCUGCCUGGAGCUCUAUGGCUCCAGAUAGACUCCUGCCAACUCCUUCGCCUUGUCCAAGUUACCUUCAUUAAAUGUCAGCUUAAAUGUGUGCCUACUUUUUGCCCUACCUAGAAUUGCAAGCACCUCUCACCACUGUGCUCCCAUUCUCCUUAACUUAAGCCACUUUUAUUCUCAUAAUAAAGCCACAUAUUUUUUCUUAUUAUAUCAUAAUCGUACUGUAUAAUUUAUAUUUUAUUACUUUUGUUUGUAUACUUAUUGUAUGUUUCUGUUCACAAGGAUGUAAACCCCAUGAACACAGAGAUCUUUGAUUGUUUUAUUCACUGAUUUAUGCCAAAUGUUUGGAACAAUGCCUGGCACAUAGUAGAUGUUUGAUAAUUUUUUUUUUUUCUGAAUGAAUAAAUACAUUUUAGCCAAAUAUGCUGACUCUGCUUGUUUGGUUAUAUUUAUGUGUGUGUGAAUGUAUGUGCAGAAAAAGAAGAAAUUAGUUAAUACCAAAUCUAUAAAAUGGGAAAAAUAAUGCUUACCUUAUAGUGUUGUUAUGAAACUCAACUAAUAUAAGAUAUGUGAAGGGUCUAGCAUAAAAUG